GGGGGGCAAAAUGCCAGUCGAGCGAGCACUUUGCUUUGAUUCUUUCGGGAGGAAAGUAAUUUGACUGAGCGGCGGACGGGUGAGUAACGCGUGGGUAACCUGCCUCAUACAGGGGGAUAACAGUUAGAAAUGACUGCUAAUGCCGCAUAAGACCACAGUACUGCAUGGUACAGUGGUAAAAACUCCGGUGGUAUGAGAUGGACCCGCGUCUGAUUAGCUAGUUGGUGGGGUAACGGCCCACCAAGGCGACGAUCAGUAGCCGGCCUGAGAGGGUGAACGGCCACAUUGGGACUGAGACACGGCCCAAACUCCUACGGGAGGCAGCAGUGGGGGAUAUUGCACAAUGGGGGAAACCCUGAUGCAGCGACGCCGCGUGAGCGAUGAAGUAUUUCGGUAUGUAAAGCUCUAUCAGCAGGGAAGAAAAUGACGGUACCUGACUAAGAAGCCCCGGCUAACUACGUGCCAGCAGCCGCGGUAAUACGUAGGGGGCAAGCGUUAUCCGGAUUUACUGGGUGUAAAGGGAGCGUAGACGGCAGUGCAAGUCUGAAGUGAAAGGCAAGGGCUCAACCCUUGGACUGCUUUGGAAACUGUGCUGCUGGAGUGUCGGAGAGGCAAGUGGAAUUCCUAGUGUAGCGGUGAAAUGCGUAGAUAUUAGGAGGAACACCAGUGGCGAAGGCGGCUUGCUGGACGAUGACUGACGUUGAGGCUCGAAAGCGUGGUGAGCAAACAGGAUUAGAUACCCUGUUAGUC
rnacentral:rRNA from 1 species